rnacentral:tRNA from 1 species
GGGGCUGUGGCGCAGUGGUAGCGCACUUGUAUGGCAUACAAGGGGUCGAGGGUUCGAAUCCCUCCAGCUCCACCA